rnacentral:rRNA from 1 species
UACAGAGGUCCCGAGCGUUGUUCGGAUUCACUGGGCGUAAAGGGUGCGUAGGUGGCAUGGCAAGUUUGAUGUGAAAGCUCAGAGCUCAACUCUGAAAUGGCAUUGAAUACUGCUGUGCUGGAGGUUUGGAGGGGGGACUGGAAUUCUCGGUGUAGCAGUGAAAUGCGUAGAUAUCGAGAGGAACACCAGUGGCGAAGGCGAGUCCCUGGACAACACCUGACACUGAGGCACGAAAGCUAGGGGAGCAAACAGGAUUAGAAACCCCCGUAGUCC